AGGAGGUAAGCACAACCACGGGUGGAGAAGGUCCAGCAGCACCAGGUCCUCUGUGCAGAUAGAACUUGAUUAAAGCUGGCUGCCAGACAGAGCUAGCCUGCGUGUGUGGCCACUUCAAGCCAGGCAGAAGCAGCUCCCAGGCCCUCGUGGGUCCACUGCACUGUGGAAUCGGACCCUUAGACCCUCUGAAUCCUAGAAGAAAAGAGAUGUUUUCCAGUUCAUGAAACAUCCGUAAACUCACAAAGGGCUCGUGUUCUGCGUACACAUGCCUCUCAGCCCACCUCCUUCCAGAAGUAAAGAUGUCUGCCGUAAACCUCCAGCAUAUGAACCACUGCGAGGUUUGUGAUGCACGCUGCAGCCCUCGGGGAAGUAUUAUCCCCAAAAGACAUAAACGGUGUCCAGACUUGUCUCAGGGUAUAGAAGCGGUAAGCAGCAGGGCUGGGUGGAAAUGGCAGCUGCCAUGCUUCCUGGGAACCAGGAGAUCGG